UUUCCGUAGGUGAACCUGCGGAAGGAUCAUUAUUGUAUAACCGAGGUGCGAGGGCUGUCGCUGACCCGAAAGGUCGUGCACGCCCGAGUGCCCUCACACACAUCCAUCUCACCCCUAUGUGCACCACCGCGUGGGUCCCCCUUUGGCGUGUUCGGAGGGGGGCUUACGUUUUCAAACAAACUUUGUAUGCAGUGUAGAAUGUAUUUUUUGUUUUUGCGAUCACGCAAUCAAUACAACUUUCAACAACGGAUCUCUUGGCUCUC
rnacentral:misc_RNA from 1 species